AUUGAACGCUGGCGGCAGGCCUAACACAUGCAAGUCGAACGAGUGGCGCACGGGUGAGUAAUGUCUGGGAAACUGCCUGAUGGAGGGGGAUAACUACUGGAAACGGUAGCUCAUACCGCAUACCAUCGGAUGUGCACAGAUGGGAUUAGCUAGUAGGUGGGGUAACGGCUACCCUAGGCGACGAUACCUAGCUGGUCUGAGAGGAUGACCAGCCACAGUGGAACUGUGACACGUUCCAGACUCCGACGGGAGGAAGCAGUGGGGAAUAUUGGACAAUGGGCGCAAGCCUGAUGCAGCCAUGCCGCGUGUAUGAAGAAGGCCUUCGGGUUGUAAAGUACUUUCAGCGGGGAGGCGUUACCCGCAGAAGAAGCACCGGCUAACUCCGUGCCAGCCGCCGCGGUAAUAC
rnacentral:rRNA from 1 species